rnacentral:lncRNA from 1 species
AUCUAAAAAAGAUGAGAAUAACAAAGUUCUCAGACGUUGGGGUGAUCUUCCGGUAGAGUCUCAGCACCAGAAAGGAUGAAAUGAAAAGUAAAAGUUUGAUUGAGAGUGACCCUAUAUAUAGAAUCCCCCAACGAUCGAGAUGAAAGCGGUUGAAUCGAAAACUUACCAGAUGACGAUACGUGACAACAUCUAAACCGACCAU